rnacentral:rRNA from 1 species
AUUGAACGCUGGCGGCAUGUCUUACACAUGCAAGUCGAACGGCAGCAUGGAGAGCUUGCUCUCUGAUGGCGAGUGGCGAACGGGUGAGUAAAGCAUCGGAACGUACCGUGUAGUGGGGGAUAACGUAGCGAAAGUUACGCUAAUACCGCAUACGCACUGAGGUGGAAAGCAGGGGAUCGCAAGACCUUGCGCUAUACGAGCGGCCGAUGUCAGAUUAGCUAGUUGGUAGGGUAAAGGCCUACCAAGGCGACGAUCUGUAGCGGGUCGGAGAGGAUGAUCCGCAACACUGGGACUGAGACACGGCCCAGACUCCUACGGGAGGCAGCGGUGGGGAAUUUUGGACAAUGGGGGCAACCCUGAUCCAGCCAUGCAGCGUGAGUGAAGAAGGCCUUCGGGUUGUAAAGCUCUUUCGGCCGGGAAGAAAUCGCACAGGCUAAUACUCUGUGUGGAUGACGGUACCGGCAUAAGAAGCACCGGCUAACUACGUGCCAGCAGCCGCGGUAA